rnacentral:misc_RNA from 1 species
UACUGAGGGAGCAAGCGUUCAUCGGAAUUACUGGGCGUAAGGCGCACGCAGGCGGUCUGUCAAGUCGGAUGAGGAAUCCCCGGGCUCAACCUGGGAACUGCAUCCGAAACUGGCAGGCUAGAGCCUUGUAGAGGGGGGUAGAAUUCCAGGUGUAGCGGUGAAAUGCGUAGAGAUCUGGAGGAAUACCGGUGGCGAAGGCGGCCCCCUGGACAAAGACUGACGCUCAGGUGCGAAGGCGUGGGGAGCAAACAGG